CACUAAAAAUUAUACCCACACCAAUGAGAAGUGUUUGUCUGCCAAGAAAUUUGAAGAAAGUGAAAAAAAUUCUAAGGUUUCAGCAAGCCAAGAGAGUGGUUAAAGAGGUUAGUGUACUAACCAUACCCUUUAUCUUUCCUAAGCAUGAAAAGCAUGCUUGAUUAAGUUGAAAUGGCAUGAAAAGAAAAGAAAACUUGGAAUAUGUUGAAGUUUCAAUUUGUGGCAGCCCUAGGAAGUAAAUGAAAUUGAUGGUUUUGAUGAUUUUGUUUUAGUUAGUGAAGUUGAUUAAUGAAGUUUAAGGCAUUAGAAAUCAAAUUGCAUGGAUGUAUGAUUGAGAUUGAAAUUACAAGUUAGGGUUUUGACCUAACUUAGUUUUUGUAUUAUUGCUUGGAAUUUGAUGAUGUUGAGAUGAUUUGAUGACCAUUAGAAGUGCCAAAUAUAUCAAAUGAAGUUUGUG
rnacentral:misc_RNA from 1 species